UACGUAUGGUGCAAGCGUUAUCCGGAUUUACUGGGUGUAAAGGGAGCGCAGGCGGCACGGCAAGCCUGAUGUGAAAGCCCGCGGCCCAACCGCGGGACUGCAUUGGGAACUACCGGGCUGGAGUGCCGGAGAGGUAGGCGGUAUUCCUAGUGUAGCGGUGAAAUGCGUAGAUAUUAGGAGGAACACCAGUGGCGAAGGCGGCCUACUGGACGGUGACUGACGCUGAGGCUCGAAAGCGUGGGGAGCAAACAGG
rnacentral:rRNA from 1 species